CUCGAUCAGCAAUGUAUAAUGUAGUAGUCAUCUGAUUGAAUCUGAUAUUUGAUUGAAUGACUAGCGAAUUCAUUGAAUCCGGUUAUUAGCAACAAGUUUUA